GACGAACGCUGGCGGCGUGCUUAACACAUGCAAGUCGAACGGAAAGGCCCCUUUGGGGGUACUCGAGUGGCGAACGGGUGAGUAACACGUGAGUAACCUGCCCUUGACUUCGGGAUAACUUCAGGAAACUGGGGCUAAUACCGGAUAGGAAUCCUUGCUGCAUGGUGGGGGUUGGAAAGCUUCUGCGGUUUUGGAUGGACUCGCGGCUUAUCAGCUUGUUGGUGGGGUAGUGGCUUACCAAGGCUUUGACUGGUAGCCGGCCUGAGAGGGCGACCGGCCACAUUGGGACUGAGAUACGGCCCAGACUCCUACGGGAGGCAGCAGGGGGGAAUAUUGCACAAUGGGCGGAAGCCUGAUGCAGCAACGCCGCGGGCGGGAUGACGGCCUUCGGGUUGGAAACCGCUUUCAGCAGGGGCGAAGCUUGUGGUGACGGUACCUGCAGAAGAAGCACCGGCUAACUACGUG
rnacentral:rRNA from 1 species